CCCGGUGACUAUACUCAACGGGCCACACGCGUUCCCAUUCCGAACACGACCGUUAAGCCGUUGGGGCUGAUGAUAGUGCCUACCAGUGCGAAAGUAAGUUAUUGCCGGGA
rnacentral:rRNA from 1 species